rnacentral:rRNA from 1 species
CCUACGGGAGGCAGCAGUGGGGAAUUUUGGACAAUGGGCGAAAGCCUGAUCCAGCAAUGCCGCGUGAGUGAAGAAGGCCUUCGGGUUGUAAAGCUCUUUUGUCAGGGAAGAAACGGUGAAAGCUAAUAUCUUUUGCUAAUGACGGUACCUGAAGAAUAAGCACCGGCUAACUACGUGCCAGCAGCCGCGGUAAUACGUAGGGUGCAAGCGUUAAUCGGAAUUACUGGGCGUAAAGCGUGCGCAGGCGGUUUUGUAAGUCUGAUGUGAAAUCCCCGGGCUCAACCUGGGAAUUGCAUUGGAGACUGCAAGGCUAGAAUCUGGCAGAGGGGGGUAGAAUUCCACGUGUAGCAGUGAAAUGCGUAGAUAUGUGGAGGAACACCGAUGGCGAAGGCAGCCCCCUGGGUCAAGAUUGACGCUCAUGCACGAAAGCGUGGGGAGCAAACAGGAUUAGAUACCCUGGUAGUCCACGCCCUAAACGAUGUCUACUAGUUGUCGGGUCUUAAUUGACUUGGUAACGCAGCUAACGCGUGAAGUAGACCGCCUGGGGAGUACGGUCGCAAGAUUAAAACUCAAAUGAAUUGACGG